GGGAAUUUUGGACAAUGGGCGAAAGCCUGAUCCAGCAAUGCCGCGUGUGUGAAGAAGGCCUUCGGGUUGUAAAGCACUUUUGUCCGGAAAGAAAACGCCGUGGUUAAUACCCGUGGCGGAUGACGGUACCGGAAGAAUAAGCACCGGCUAACUACGUGCCAGCAGCCGCGGUAAUACGUAGGGUGCAAGCGUUAAUCGGAAUUACUGGGCGUAAAGCGUGCGCAGGCGGUCCGCUAAGACAGAUGUGAAAUCCCCGGGCUUAACCUGGGAACUGCAUUUGUGACUGGCGGGCUAGAGUAUGGCAGAGGGGGGUAGAAUUCCACGUGUAGCAGUGAAAUGCGUAGAGAUGUGGAGGAAUACCGAUGGCGAAGGCAGCCCCCUGGGCCAAUACUGACGCUCAUGCACGAAAGCGUGGGGAGCAAACAGGAUUAGAUACCCUGGUAGUCCACGCCCUAAACGAUGUCAACUAGUUGUCGGGUCUUCAUUGACUUGGUAACGUAGCUAACGCG
rnacentral:rRNA from 1 species